rnacentral:lncRNA from 1 species
CGAAGUCUCAUCCCGACUUGUGGGGGAAUCAUAGUCUUCAUCAUCCUUUCCUUACUGGGACAAUGCUCUAAUUAAUGAAGAUCAUCACACUUUUAUGGAUUUACAACUCAAGAAUUACAACUCAAAGCUAGAACAAGAUAUGACUCUAUAUGAAUGCCUCCGGCGGUGUACCGGGAUAUGCAAUGAAUCAAGAGCGACAUGUAUGAAAAUUAUGAAGGUAGCCUUGCCACAAAUACGAUGUCAACUACAUGAUCAUGCAAAGAGUAAUAUGACAAAGGUAAUGCGUGUCAUAUGAACGGAACGGUGGAAAGUUGCAUGGCAAUAUAUCUCGGAAUGGCUAUGGAAAUGCCAUAAUAGGUAGGUAUAAUCCCAUGGACUCAAUAUUAGUCAAAAGAACUCAUAUACUUAUCGCACAAAUCUAGAAGUCAUAAAAAACAAAGUACUACGCGCAUGCUCCUAGGGGGAUAGAUUGGUAGGAAAAGACCAUCGUUCGUCCCCGACCGCCACUCAUAAGGAAGACAAUCAAUAAAUAAAAUUGUGCUCCAACUUCAUCACAAAGCAGUUCACCAUACGUGCAUGAUAUGGGAAUCACAAAACUCAACACAAGUAUUUUUCAUAAUCACCUCAACUAGCAUGACUUUAAUAUCACUACCUCCAUAUCUCAAAACAAUUAUCAAGUAUCAAAUUGAUCAUAGCAUCCAAUUCACUUUCUAUGAUAGUUUUUAUUAUACCCAACUUGGAUGCUCAUCAUUCUAGGACCAAAUUUUUCACCAUAGAAAAUACCAUGCUGUUCUAAAAGAAUCUCAAAAUAAUAUAAGUGAAGCAUGAGAGACUAGCAAUUUCUUCAAAAUUAAGCCACCGCCAUGCUCUAAAAGAUAUAAGUGAAGCACUAGAGCAAAAACUAUCAAGCUCAAAAGAUAUAAGUGAAGCACAUAGAGUAUUCUAGCAAAUUCUAAUCAAGUAGGCUUCUCCCAAAAGGUGUGUACAGCAAGGAUGAUUGUGGUAAACUGAAAAGCAAAUACUAAUAUAAUACACGACGCUCCAAGCAAAACACAUAUCAUGUGGCUAAUAAAAAUAUAGUUCCAAGUAAAGUAACUAAUGAACGAAGACAAAAGAGGGGAUGCCUUCCCGGGGCAUACCAAGCUUAGGAUUUUGGCUAUACUUGAAUAUCUUGGGGUGCCAUGGGCAUCCCCAAGCUUAGACUCUUGCCAGUCCUUAUUCCAUAGUCCAUAAAAGCUUUACCCAAACUUGAAAACUUCACAACACAAAACUCAACAGCAAAUCUUAUAAGCUCCGUUAGUGAAAGAAAACAAAACCACCACAUAAGGUACUGUAAGGAACUCAUUGUUUAUUUAUUUUGGUGUUAAACCUACUGUAUUCCAAAUUCUCUAUGGUUUAUAAACUAUUUUACUAGCCAUAGAUGCAUCAAAAUAAGCAAACAACACACGAAAAACAGAAUCUGUCAAAAACAAAACAGUCUGUAGCAAUCUGUAACUAGCGCAAACUUCUGGAAAUCUAAAAAUCCUACCAAAAUAGGAAGUCCUGUAAAAUUUGUCUAUUGAUCAGCAGCAAAAAGAAUCAACGCAAAAUCACGUUUCUAUGAUUUAACAAAACUAAAUUCGUGCGUGCAAAGUUUCUGUUUUUCAGUAGAAUCAAAUCAACUAUCAUCAUAGGUUAUCCUAUAGGUUCUACUUGACACAAACGCUAAUUAAAAGAUAAAAACACAUCUAAACAGAAGGUAGAUGCAAGAUUUAUUACUAAACAGGAACAAAAACAAAAAACACAAAGAAAAUUGGGUUGCCUCCCAACUAGCGCUAUUGUUUAAUGCCCCUAGCUAGGCAUAAAAGCAAAGAUAGAUCUAAGUAGUGCCAUCUUUGACACUCAAUUCAUAAGUAGCUCGCACAAUAGAUUUAUAAGGUAAUUUGACUUUCUUUCUUGGAAAGUUCUCCAUGCCUUUCUUUAAUGGAAAUUGGAAUCUAAUAUUCCCUUCCUUCAUAUCAAUAAUCAUGCCAAUCGUUCUAAGGAAAGGUCUACCAAGAAUAAUAGAGCAAGAAAGAUUGCAAUCUAUAUCAAGAACGAUAAAAUCUAUGUGCACCAAAUUUCUACUUGCAACAAUGAGAACAUCAUUUUAUCCUUCUCAUUGGAUUUUUAAUGGUGGAAUCUGCAAGGUGCAAAUUUAAAGAGCAAUCAUCAAGAUCAUGGAAACCUAGAAUAUCACAUAAACUUUUUGGAAUCGUGGAAACACUAGCACCCAAAUCACACAAAGCAAAACACUCAUGAUCUUUAAUUCUAAUCAUUAUAGUAGGUUCCCACUCAUCAUUAAGUUUUCUAGGUAUAGAAACUUCCAAAUUAAGUUUUCAUCAUAAUAUUGCAUCAAGGCAUCAACGAUAUGUUUGCUAAAAGCUUUAUUUUGACUAUAAGCAUGACGAGAAUUAACAACGGAUUGCAACAACCUUCUAAAGAACAAUUAUCAUAAUCAAAUUCCUUGAAAUCCGAGAUAGUGGGUUCAAUGCUAUUUAAAGUCAUGACCUCUCCAAUCCCACUUUUACCAAAUUUAGCAUCAAGAUCUAAAAGCUCUGAAUUUUUGGGAUGCCUUCUAGGUAAAGUUGACUCAUCUUCAGUCCCAUAAUUAUCAAGAUUCAUAUUGCAAAACAAAGAUCUAAUACGAGACGCAUCAAUAACUUUAAGAUCUUCAUCAUUAUUUUCAUGGAAACUAGAAGAACACACCUUUAUAAAGCAAUCUUUCUUAGCACGCAAUCUAGCCGUUCUUUUCUUGCACUCGUCAAUGGAAAUUCUCAUUGCUUUGAGAGACUCAUUGAUAUAAUGCUUAGGGGAAGAAGAUCUAAGUUUAAGAGAAUCAACAUCAAGCGAAAGUCUAUCAACGUUCCUAGUCAAAUCAUCAACUUUGAGAAAUUUUUCUUCAAGCAAGGCAUUAAAAUUCUUUCGAGAAAUCAUAAAUUCUUUCACACUAUUCUCAAAAUCAGAGGGCAUCUUAUUAAAAUUACCAUAAGAAUUAUUGUAGGAAUUUCCAUAAUUAUUAGAGGAAUUACUAGGGAACGGUCUAGCAUUAAAGUUUCCUCUAUAAGCAUUGUUUCCAAAACUAUUCCUACCAACAAAAUUCACAUCCAUAGAUUCAUUAUUAUUCUCAAUCAAAGUAGACAAAGGCAUAUCAUUGGGAUAAAGAGGAGUAUUCUUAGUAGCAAACAAUUUCAUAAGUUCAUCCAUCUUUCCACUCAAAACAUUGAUUUCUUCUAUAGCAUGCACUUUUUUACUAGAAGAUCUUUCGGUGUGCCAUUGAGAAUAAUUAGCCAUAAUAUUAUCAAGAAGUUUUGUAGCAUCUCCUAACGUGAUUUCCAUAAACGUGCCUCCUGCGGCCGAAUCUAAGAGAUUUCUAGAAGCAAAGUUCAAACUGGCAUAAAUUUUUUGUAUGAUCAUCCGUAAAUUCAAACCAUGAGUAGGGCAAUUACGAAUCAUCAAUUUCAUUCUUUCCCAAGAUUGGGCAACAUGAUCAUGAUCAAGUUGUUUAAAAUUCAUAAUAUUGUUCCUAAGAGUGAUAAUCUUAGCGGGAGGAAAAUACUUAGAGAUAAAAGCAUCUUUGCACUUGUUCCAAGAAUCAAUACAAUUUUUAGGCAAAGAUGAAAACCAAACUUUAGCACGAUCUCUAAGUGAAAAUGGAAAUAACUUCAAUUUAACAAUAUCGUUAUCCGUAUCUUUCUUCUUUUGCAUAUCACACAAAUCAACAAAGUUGUUUAGAUGAGUAGCAACAUCUUCACUAGGAAGGCCGGCGAAUUGAUCUUUCAUAACAAGAUUCAGCAAAGCAGUAUUGAUUUCACAAGACUCAACAUCAUUAAGAGGAGCAAUCGGAGUACUAAGGAAAUCAUUAUUAUUGGUAUUGGAGAAAUCACACAAUUUGGUAUUAUCUUGCGCCAUGGCAACAAGUAAUCCAACACACAAGCAAACAGAAAAAGGCAAGCGAAAGAGAGAGGAGGAGAUUGGGAAAGAGAGGGCGAAUAAAAUGCAAGGGUGAAGUGGGGGAGAGGAAAACGAGAGGCAAAUGACAAAUAAUGUAAAUGCAAGGGAGAUGAGUUUGUGAUGGGUACUUGGUAUGUCUUGACUUGAGCGAAGACCUCCCCGCCAACGGCGCCAGAAAUCCUUCUUGCUACGUCUUGAGCUUGCGUUGGUUUUCCUUGAAGAGGAAAGGGUGAUGCAGCAAUAGUAGCGUAAGUAUUUCCCUCAGUUUUGGAGAACCAAGGUAUCAAUCCAGUAGGAGGAUCCUCAAAAGUCCCACGCACCUACACAAACAAACAAAGAACUCGCAACCAACGCAAUAACGGGGUUGUCAUUCCCUUCACGGCCACUUGCGAAAGUGAGAUCUAAUAGAGAUAGUAUGAUAAGAUAGAUAUAUUUUUGGUAUUUUAUAAUAUAGAUGCAAAAAGUAAAGAUGCAAAUAAAAGUAGAUUGGAAGCAAAUAUUAUAAGAGAUAGACCCGGGGGCCAUAGGUUUCACUAGAGGCUUCUCUCAAGAUAGCAUAAGUAUUACGGUGGGUGAACAAAUUACUAUCGAGCAAUUGAUAGAAAAGCGAAUAAUUAUGAGAUUAUCUAGGCAUGAUCAUGUAUAUAGGCAGCAUGUCCGUGACAAGUAGACCGACUCCCGCCUACAUCUACUACUAUUACUCCACACAUCGACCGACUCCUGCCUGCAUCUAGAGUAUUAAGUUCAUAAGAAUAGAGUAACGCCUUAAGCAAGAUGACAUGAUGUAGAGGGAUAAACUCAUGCAAUAUGAUAUAAACCCCAUCUUUUAUCCUCGAUGGCAACAAUACAAUACGUGCCUUGCAACCCUUUCUGUCACUGGGUAAGGACACCACAAGAUUGAACCCAAAGCUAAGCACUUCUCCCAUGGCAAGAAAGAUCAAUCUAGUAGGCCAAACCAAACUAAUAAUUCGAAGAGAGUUGCAAAGAUAACUCAAUCAUACAUAAGAGAAUUCAGAGGAGAUUCAAAUAUUUCUCAUAGAUAAACUUGAUCAUAAACCCACAAUUCAUCGGAUCUCAACAAACACACUGCAAAAAGAGUUUACAUCGAAUAGAUCUCCACAAGAGAGGGGGAGAACAUUGUAUUGAGAUCCAAAAAGAGAGAAGAAGCCAUCUAGCUAAUAACUAUGGACCCGAAGGUCUGUGGUAAACUACUCACAACUCAUCGGAGGGGCUAUGGUGUUGAUGUAGAAGCCCUCCGUGAUCGAUUCCCCCUCCGGCAGAGCACCGGCGAAGGCUCCAAGAUGGGAUCUCGCGGAUACAGAAGGUUAUGUCGGUGGAAAUUGUGUUUCGUUGGCUCCCUGGAUGUUUUCGGGGUACGUAGGCUUAUAUAGGAGGAAGAAGUAUGUCGGUGGCCGCCUGAGGGGCCCACGAGACAGGGGGCGCGCCCUGUAGUGGUGGGCUUGCCCUACCCUCUUGUGGCCGCCUCGACAUCUUGUUGGCUUGCACUUCAAGUCCUCUGGAUCACGUUCGUUCCAAAAAUCACGCUCCCGAAGGUUUCAUUCCAUUUGGACUCCGUUUGAUAUUCCUUUUCUUUGAAAUACUUAAAUGGGCAAAAAACAGCAAUACGGGCUGGGCCUCCAGUUAGUAGGUUAGUCCCAAAAAUGAUAUAAUUGUGUAAAAUAAAGCCCAUAAACAUCCAAAAGGGGUAAUAUAAUAGCAUGGAACAAUAAAAAAUUAUAGAUACAUUGGAGACGGAACAUGCAUCACCCAGCUCAAGGCUCCACGAGGUUGGCAUCUCAGGGGAAGUCGCGUCAGGAUCUGCGCCCGUGCAAGGGGCGCCUCCUUCCAUUGCAUAGGACGGCGCACCCGGCGCCCUCCUCUGGCAGGGCUCGGGGGCUCUCUUUUGGAGGGCCUCAGACUUUGCCAAGAUCACGAGGAAGGCGCUCGGGCACCACUUGGAGGCGUGCUUCGCAGCACGUUUCCCUCAGGAAGGCAUGGGGCAUGGAAAGCCCAACCCUCAGGAGUUCAUCACCAAGACCACACAGGAGCUUCAGGAAGCAAGAGCCAUGCGCAGCGAUCGCCGUUUGCCUGGUGUAGCACCCCAUCCAGGCGAGGUGGCGGGCUGCACAUCUGCAUCGAUUUCCCAGGGCUCAACUGAGCCGCGUCUCAGGAGCGCCUCUGGCCCUUGCGCGUGGGACGUUGCAAGGGUCCCCCGCACAACUACGUUCGCAUGCCUUUCAGCCUGCCGAACGCGGCUGCCACUCACCAGCGCCAUCUGCGGAGCAUUCUGGCGGCUCAGGAGGCCAGGCAUCACGCGGUCCUGGCGGAGAUGGAGAUGGUCCUCGAGGAACCACCCGGACCCCCAGAGUCCCCCGAGGCUCAGGGCUCCGGCGGCUCGUGAGGAUUGGCCUCUUCACCGCACACCUUCAGCUACUCCAACACCCCCUCUACAAUGGUACCAGGUGACAUCUUUCGAGUUCAUUUUAGCUGGGAGCGCCCUCAGGGCUGCAUCAUUCCCAGGCCGCACGAGUCUGUCCCUGCGGCAUGUAUCUCUUUUUCUUAUGUCUUUAGUUUACCUUGCUGGGGGUGCCCCUCGGGUUGCAUCAUCCCCAAGCCGCUCGGGCCUGACCCAGUGGCGUGUAUCCCUCCUACAUUUAUCUAAGCUGAUUUGCCUUUCAUGCUUAACCUGCCCAUGAUUAUCGCCUUCUCGAUUGACACCUACCUCUGGAGCUGCUUACUCUGGCACGGCGCUUGCGCAUGGGUCCGUCCCUGCAACGUUGACAAAUAUGAGUGGUCGAGCUCUGGCCCGCGGCAGCCCCGCAAGCGUCACCUCACCAGGCCCUCAGUGCCCUCACCACUCUCUCAGAGCAACCAAUGGCCGGCCGGCAAUCAUAAUGUCAACCCUUGCUCUUCUCGUGUUGAUUAGCAGGAACCUCCUGAGGUCUACAGCGGGUGGCACCACGAGCUCUCUCUUUCUUUCCCGCGCGAUCCGCUUGCACGUUAAAAGGGGGGCUCCUGAGCAUCGCAACUCAGGAGCUCUUACUGGCUCUCCAGCCCUCACCCCCUGGCCUUGUCCACGACAUAGGGACCUGGCAUACCAGCGGCGGCUGAGCUCGCUCGAGGGCCGGGACCUGAGGACAUAGAGCACUAAGGAGAGUGUGGGGAAAAGAGGGGGAGCUCGCAAAGGCCUAACCCAUCUACAUCCCAGCUACCGACGUGCAAGUCCGGCACAUCGCAAAGGGACGAUUCCAUGUUUUUGAGAUAAGUUUCGCACCUGGAAUAGCUAAUUAAUGCGACACCGAAUCUCCACCUAAUGCGGCUCUGUGACGGCGAUGUUGCCUUCCUUUCUCACCUUUCGGCGGCUGCUUGUGCACUAAAGGGGACCUCCUGAGCAUUGCGCCUCAGGGGAUCUUACUGGACCUCGGGCCGCUCACCUCCUGGCCUUGACCACGGCACCGUGACCUGGCAUACCAGCGACGGCUGAAGCCUGCCUGGGGACUGGGACCUAUCAGCGUAGAGCACCAAGUCGUCGCGAGGUUAGAAAGGGGGAACCAAGCCGGGACAGGACAAGCAUUCGCACCGCUUCAUAAUAAGGGUAAUAUCAACAAAAUACAUCGCGGACCCUUUACAUGCCCCCACGGGGUGUUUUCUCAAUUCUUCAUAGGAAAAAAGACGCGAAUCCUAAGGAGCUCUAACUACACGCGCCUCCAUAGCCGACGCCAUCAUCAAUAGUGGGCCACGGGAGACCAACACCAACCCCAUCCAGAUCAGUCGCACCGGUGGCCUGAUGCAGCCGCCUUGCUCCGGGCACGACGCGAGCUCGGGGGCACGUAGCUAUCGUCGCUCGUCUCCGGAGUCACGAAGAGCUCUAGAGAGUCGCCGGACACCCAAGCAUCGCCGCUGCUGCCAGAGGAGCCGUUGGGGAAGCGGGAAGUAGGCCUAGCCCUUGCCACGAUGAUGUCCUGGCUGCCUCCCCUGGGGCAGCACUCCAGCCAGCGGCCUUCUGCGUCAAAGACCUUGAAGAACAUCAAGGAGGCACCAUCGUAUUCGAAGUUAAUCAUGAGGGCACCCCCUGUUCGACAGACCCAGGCAAUCUCGUCCCAGCCUCGGGUCAUGAAGACCUUGCCCGGAGCGACGACUUCAACCUCCGCUCUGGUCACCGGAGCAGCGCAGUCGGUGUGCUGCAGCCAAAGCUCGAGAGGCCCCCUCGGCGGCAUCUCGAAAGCGAAGGAUGGAGGGAAGCGGAUCUAGGUGCUUGGAGGCAUCGCGGCGUGAAGCACGAGCUUGCGAGAGGAGUCCACGGUGUGGACUCCAGGAGCGACGGCGCGCACCGCUAUGGUUCGUCGACCUCGCCUGCGGCGCGGGCGGCGUCGCUUGUCAUCUUCUUCUCCAGGGCCCUCUGCCCGGGCGUACAGGGGUAGCGGGAACCCAGAAGGUGGCCGCUCGCACCAAGGCCUCAUCAUCUCCGGCCUCGCAACCUCAUCGCGACACCGUGGGACCGGCUAUUUCUUCGGCGAGAGUGGGUCAGGCCCCUCCCGGGGAGCCUUUCCUUUCUUUGCGGCCGAGAACCUGCGGAUCGGUGCCUUUGGCGUCAAGAAUGGAGGUGGAGCAAGGGAGAAGAAGCAGAUGGAGCAAGAAGAGAUGGACAACGGGGGCUCUCGCCUCUCCGUACUUAUAGCCCAAGGGAGGCCAAUCGUCGACCUCCACGAUCACGAGUAAUGAUGACUCUUUGUGUAUGCAGCAGGGACUUGUCAAAUCGGGCAGUUGCCGAGGCAGCAUGGGGAAGCGGAGAUGCCCACGUCCAAUCAACCGCCACACGACGACCAAGGCCGCAGGCUGUUGGGGCCCGCGGCGCUCUGCACUUGCCCUUUGGCUUCGCUACUAAGCCAAGUCUGAGCGCGCCUUGGGCCCGAGGGCUACUGUCGGCAUCCUGGGAAUGGGGGUCCCCAGACUUGCCUGCCUGCGGCCUGCAGCGUGGCUCAGCUGUGGCCCAGUGUGGCCCGUCUUCAUCAACCCAAGCUCAAGACUCUCGUGAGGGGCCAAGCCUCGUGGGGCAGAUGGCACAAGGCCUCCUCAGGGGCGGCCUCGCCAGGCAGGCUCGCGAGGAGGCGGAGUGAUCAAGGCAAGGGGUACCUUGCGUGGUGCUCAUGAUGCAAGCCAUGACGAUCAAGACCAGGCGGGCGCCAGGUGGGCGCCAGCCUGCGCAGUGUCCUCGUUUCCUCUUUGGUGCAAAGGGGGCAAGUGCAGGCACGGAGUACCGAGGCAUCAAGCAAAGAUUUCCAUAUCAUUGCAACGAGACCAAGACCAGCAGGACGACAGGAUGGAGGUCACCUCGGAGCCCAAGACGGCGUCAUCGCUAGUGCUUUUGGCAGCCGAAGACCACCUUUAGUCAGGAUAGCUUGUACUAGCUGUCCCCUUUCAAAGUGGCCGUUGUUGGCUUCCUUCCCGCUCAAUAUUUGGGAAGAGGACCAGGCCUCUAUAAAUAGAGAUAGCCACCACAGUAGGAAGGGAUCGAAUCCUUCCUAAGCAGAACACCACACCACCCCAAGAACACCUCUCCUCGCGAGGCUGUUCUUCCUCUGUACUGUUCAUCAUCAGCCCAAGAGGCAAUCCAUCACACCACACACUGGAUUAGGGUAUUACACCACAACGGUGGCCCGAACCAGUAUAAACCUCGUGCCUCUUGUGUUGUUCAUCGUGCUAGCUUAGAAUUGCGGCAAGGCUUUGGGCGUGUUUCGGUAGGGAGAAGAUUUUCCUGCGCACCCCAGAGUUCGAACCUUAAGGGUUUUGCCGGAACCCGAUAUCCGAUAGAGAGUAAUCUGCCUAAGUGACUUUGCCUUUUUCCCCAAAAUGACGCCGUGGAACUGCAUAUUGCUCUCACUGAGCUUGGACAUGAGAAUGCCCAUCCCUUCUAGGGUCUCAGCAUAUAGAAUGUUCAGCCCACUUCCGCCAUCCAUAAGGACCUUGGUUAGUCGGGUGCCCCCAAUGACCGGGUCGACCACCAGCACUUGCCGCCCAGGGGUAGAAACGUGUGCCGGGUGAUCUGACCGGUCGAAUGUAAUGGGAGUCUUCGACCACUUCAAAUACGUCAAAGUUUCCGGAGCAACCAUAUUCACUUCUCUGUUAAUGACUUUGAGUCGACUUUUGUUUUUGACAUCAACAAAAAUCAUCAAGGUAGCUUUGACCUAAGGGUAAUCCUCCUCAUCUUCUUUAUCAAACUCUUUCUCAUUGGAUUGAUUCUCUCGGAAGCUCUGAAUCAGAAGAUGGCACUGCCGAGUGGUAUGCUUGGGUUGAAUCAGGUUUCCCUCCUCAUCUUUCUUCAUGUGUAUGUAACACGGCAAAUCCAUGACAUCUUUUCCUAACUGAUCUUUCACCUUUUUAGGUUUCCACUGUGGUUUCCGCUUUCCUUUGAACUUUCCACCUCCUGCAUUUAGGACCGCAACUUCAGCAGGCCCUAUAGUUUCACCCUUAUGUUUCUACUUCCGACUGGAAUUUCGAGCUCCGGAGUCCUGAACGACUAUUUUCCCUUUGCCGUGGCGGAGUCGGUCCUCCUCUUCAACAUUGGCGUACCGAGUGGCUAUCUCCAUCAUUCUGGUCAGAGUCAUAUCUCCGGACGGACCGAACUUCAGGGUAAGCUCUCUGUACUUGACGCCCUCUUUGAAGGCACAAACCGCCUGGUAAUCUCACACAUUUUCCACCGUAUGAUGAAGGGUGGUCCAUCUCUGGAUGAAAUCUCGCAAAAUCUCAUUCGGUUUUUGAAUACGGUGUUGCAAUUCAGUCAGCCCAGCAGGUCGCUUGCAAGUGCCCUCGAAUGUUUUGAUGAAUACUCAAGCCAAAUCAUUCGAGCAGAAAAUACUCCCAGGGGCUAACUAUGUCAACCAAGCUUUGGCCAACCCCUCAAGCAUCAAGGGGAGGUGUUUCAUAGCUACAUCAUCAUUGCCACCACCGAUCUGCACAACCACUCGGUAGUCUCCCAGCCAGGUGUCUGGCUUCAAUUCCCCAGUGAACUUACUCAAGCCCGCUGCCAAUCUGAAGUUGGGAGGGAUCUCAGCUGAUUGAAUGGCCAUACUAAAACCUUUGGGCCCGGAAAUGAAUGCUCUGUUCCCAGUCGUACGAUCUCUGCCCUGCCCUUCUCUGUUGGCUCGGCCUCUGUCGACCAAAGCUUCACAAGGAGUGAUCUCGCAUCGAAUCCCAGCUCUCUUGGGUCGACCGGGGCUCUCCGCUCGUCACCAUACGGGUGUCUAUCAUCAUAGCAUCAUGGCACAUACGAUCCGCCCCUCGGAGGGGGAGUAAGCACUCGACGGUGGUCAUCACGGGAACCCUGACAAUCAAACUGUCUAUGGCCCCGCUCCAGGUACUGGUCCUGGCGGGGACCACGAUCUUCCCGAUGCCUGGGUGACCUUGGACUAUGUGCCGACUGAACUGUGUCUACAACCACUGACCUGCUAUGUAUUCUGUUACGCGACUUAGAAACGGCAGAAUUCUGUUCCCCAGUGGCCUUAAGCAAUGCACGGAUCUGCUCUAAACCUCUACCAGAUUCUGAACAUGACGACUGAAUUGUCUCUGCUAUGCGUGCUGCUGCUGCAACAUUUUGAAUCGGAGUUCGGUAUACCUGAGUUUCAGUCGGAAAAAACCGUGUGGCCCGUCGACUGGAUUCGAGAAUCUGCUGUCGAGCCCGCUCGUCGAGUGCCUUCUGCAAAUUGUCCAGACACGUACGCUCAGCCAAGGUGGCCAAGCACGCAGCGUCCGAGGCUCGAGCCUCGAGGGUCUCCUCAAUGAUGGGGGUCUGGAGCGCCUGAACGUUGUGUCGAUGCAACUCUUCCCUCUGCUCCAGGGUGAGGGCCUCAGGGACGUACUCCUCAUGCCCUUGAGAUGGGCCAACGUCGUCAUCGCCACCACCAUUGCGGCGAAAUCCGGGCGGGCUGUGCUGGGAAGUGACCACGAGAACUUCUGUCGCUGGGUCAUUGCUUUCGCACUCGGAGAGGGAAUCCGAGUGACCAGCCGGCAAAUCAAACACACAUAAAGAGAUUCGUCGGGCUNNNNNNNNNNNNNNNNNNNNNNNNNNNNNNNNNNNNNNNNNNNNNNNNNNNNNNNNNNNNNNNNNNNNNNNNNNNNNNNNNNNNNNNNNNNNNNNNNNNNNNNNNNNNNNNNNNNNNNNNNNNNNNNNNNNNNNNNNNNNNNNNNNNNNNNNNNNNNNNNNNNNNNNNNNNNNNNNNNNNNNNNNNNNNNNNNNNNNNNNNNNNNNNNNNNNNNNNNNNNNNNNNNNNNNNNNNNNNNNNNNNNNNNNNNNNNNNNNNNNNNNNNNNNNNNNNNNNNNNNNNNNNNNNNNNNNNNNNNNNNNNNNNNNNNNNNNNNNNNNNNNNNNNNNNNNNNNNNNNNNNNNNNNNNNNNNNNNNNNNNNNNNNNNNNNNNNNNNNNNNNNNNNNNNNNNNNNNNCUGGCGAGCCACCGCAUGCUUCACCCACCGCUGGAGCCGCGAAUGACCGGACCGCUUGCAACGGCGAACAACGGGAAGCGAUGAUGUCACCAGGGCUGACUGAUACUGAGUCGACGGCUGUUGAAGAAGGAUGCCACAAGCACUCACACGAAAGUGCGUUGCCCCAUGGACGGGGAGGGCCUCGACAUCGAGGGGAGCUUCAUGAAGCCAGGCAGAGUCAUCGGUGAUGAUAACAAGCGCACCGAGAUGGAUCUCGUGGCCCAACGCCAAACCACCGCCGGAAACCAUGUUGCCGGAGAACGAAAUAUGCAACCUCACCGGAAGUCACUUAGACGCCUGCCCCAUGGUGGGCGCCAACUGUCGUGGGAAUAAGUCUGGCAGUAAGAAUAGGGGGUACGUAUGAGGAGGCAAGGUCCUAGCUAUGGUGAGGUUGUACAUGCAAGUUUACGAGUUCAUGCCCUUCUCAGAGGAAGUAAAAGCCCUACGUCUCGGUGCCCUGAGGCUGUGUCGACUGGAUAUGCGUGAAUGUUACAAGGGUUGCAAACCCUUGUGCUAGAUGAGGAGGGUGGCUUAUAUAGAGUGCGCCAGGACCCUCCCUGACCUCUGUUACACAUGGUUCAAUGUGAGUUAAGAUGGGGCGUUGCUGGUAAUGCUUGCCAUAAAUGAACAUUAAGACUACAGGGUGAACGCCUGACCGUUGCCAUCUUGGGAUGACCUUAGAUCUUCUAUACUCUGAGUGGUUCUUCAUACGGUCGAGUGACUAUGCUGUGGUCGAGUGGAAUUGGGGUAUCCGAGUGGAACCUUCUGUCGAAUGGAUUGCACUUCAGGAUGAUUCCAGUCGGUAUUCUCUGCUGGUCCUUGAGUGCCUUUGGUUGUAGGUCAGUGUCCUUGGGUGGGGUUUCUAGGUCAGGCCUAGGAACCUACCCUUGGUACAUGUCCUCGUCACUCUCUACUUGAUUGCAAGCGUGCAAUCUUCACGAUCCAGCAGCGAUUCGUCGCCCAGAGCUAAUCGUUGCUGGAGAAAUAGAGGGAGGAGAUUAGAACCACAUGGGGCUUCUAAUUAUGAGGAUUAGAUGAUUAGUCUAGCUCUAAUUAGUUAAUUAGGACCAACUAGAACUAGAGCGAGAACUAUAACUAGAAGAACUCGAGGACGCUCCAAAACUUGUAUAUCAAAACAGCACCAAACCUCAAGUGUAUAUAGGUUAGAGGGGAGAGGGAGGGGUGCCAUCCCUCCUUGGUGCGUGGCCAGGGGGAGGAGGAGUAGCACUCUUCCCCUUCCCCAAUUCGGCCUCCUUCCAUAGGGAAAGGGGCGCCUCCCACUUGGGCCCUUAUGGCCCAAGUUGCUUUCCAUCUCUUUGCCUUUUAAGGCCCGUUGAUAUUAAAUUAAAUAUAAAGUUGUUCUAAAUACUCUCGGACCAUUACAUAUAUAUAUAUAUAGGGUGGGUCUAUUAUGAUAACACCCUUAGGACCUUAUUCUGCAGCUCAAAAUGCUUAUUCUGAUAACACCCCAACCCACCUCCCGCACGACCAUGAUUAUAAUCCCUCCACCUCCUUAUCCACCCACGACCUCUCCCCUCCGCCUCCUUCCUUCAGCCAGGGCUGCGCCCGCCCCACCCCGCACUACCUCCUUCCACCACCUCCCUCCCCUGCAUCGCCGCACCACCUCCCUCCUCCGUGCCGCACCACCACCUCCCUCCCCCGUGACGCUGUCCUACCUUCCUCCCACCGCGCCACGCACCCGCCACCACGAAGCGUGCCGGCGGCCGAUCUGCCACGGCCGGCUUCCCCAAACCACUGUCGUCGCCCCGAUGACCUCCUUCAGAGCGCCGGUGGUCGGAUCCAUGGCACCCCGCACUGGUGACCUCGUUCCACACUGUGGUCGCCAGAUCCAGAGCCCUCCCCUGAGCCGUUGACCUCCUUCUGCACCGACGUGGCCGGAUCCAGCGGACCUCCAGCUGCCGCCAGAUGCAGGCGCCCCGGCCGCCGCACCUUUGCCCCCAGGGGGCUCCUGCCCCCUACCUCAUCUGCCCACUGGGUUCUCUGCCGCAGGCCACCAUCCCCAUGGCGGGUUCAGAGAGUAGGAUGAGGGUGCUCCACCACACACAGGUGGGGGCACGCGCGGGGCACGGAGGAUGGCGAGCGGCAUCGCGCGCACUGGAAGGGCCAGGAGGUGCUGCACCUCGCAUCUUCGGCCAAAUCCCACCGCCAGUAAGACAAGAUCCCACUCCUACUCCCCUCCCACCCCCUGCCCCCUUUCUCCACCUCACGCUUGCAGUCCAUUAGGCGCGCGCUGCAGUUCCUUUUGCUUUUGUUUUUUUUACAAAGAAAUUGUUUUUUGUGCAGAUGGGAUGGGCGUCGCUGGCGUGCAAUUUGCAUUUGAUGUGCUCGCGAUUCAGAGCACUAGCGCAUCAUGCUGCUCACAGGGUCUCACCAAUGAAGGCUCGUGUUCUGUAGUUCUCUUGCACAUCAGUUGUGGCUUCUGUGGUCGUGGUGCUCACUGGUGCCUCAUCCCUAUGUAGUUUUUUCGAUGGAUCUCUCUGUAGGGUGAGAGUGCUUCAUGUAGUUUGGUAUCUGUAACCGUGCAGUGCAACAAACAGGGCUUGCGUGGGACAAAGUAGUGCGGCAUCGGUAGCCGAACAAAUCAGCUUAACACAAGGUGGUUUGUUGGAUUCAUUCAUGUUUGUCCCAGCAGUGUAGUUGACUUGUAGCAGUUCGGGGUGUCUCCCGUUGCAGCUUGGUUGGGUCGUCGGUGCAGUAGGUGAGCAUGUGAGAGGACCAUGCGCAUCGAAUUUGAUUCUGGCCGUGCAACACUGCAGUACAGAUGUGUGCGGCAUGCAUUUUUCUGCAUUUUACUUGGUGUGGACGUGCAGCUCGGCGACUGUGGAUGUGUAGCUCGAAGGCGUGCGUGUUGCGGUUCAGUGCUCGUUUAGGUGCAGCUCGUCCUCGCGGGCGCACUGUAGUUCUUUAUUAUUGAUUUUCCAGAUUUACAAAGACGUUGUAAGAAAAAUAUUCAAAACUCACUCGACUAAAAAUUCAACACAUGCAGUGCAUUCGGUUUUCAGACGUGGUUCACUUUUGAGAGUGAUGCUGUUCACUUGUGCCGAACAUGAAAGUGCUAAAAAUUUAGCGCAACAACAAAGAUAGUAAUGAGGUUCACUUCGAUAUAUGUCGUGGUUCACUUGCCUCCUCUCUGCGGUCCACUCUUGUUCAAAAAAAAUUGAAAAAAAGACAACAAAAACUCGUCUGAGAAAAAUUUUCAUUUGAGAAAAGAAGUCAUGAAGUUCGCUUGCCCGUCCGAUGCAGUGCGGUUUUCAGUCUAAAAGCAGUGCAGUUUUCUUCCUCAUCUUCAAAAUUUACGUCCCACAAAAAAGAAACCAUGCAGUUCUCUUACCCGGGUGAUGCAGUUUGGUUUUUUAUCCGUUGCAAUGCGGUUUUCAGUCGGAUGAAGUACCCACGUCGAUUUGGGUGUCGCGAAAAACAGAGUGUCCUCAUUUCGGUAAAUUCGAAAUUCCUCUUAAACCGUAAAGAAUUAGAGAGAGUGUUCUACAUGAAAGAGUUGCGUAUCAUCGAUAUCUUUCCAACAGCAUAUCGUUUGAAUCAUUUUGACCAGCGGUUUGCAAAAAUUUCGCCAAAAACGGCCGCUGCCACUCGUCGUCCGCCGCAUGGUUUUCAAAAUUAACUUAAAACCGUAAGAAAUUUCAAAAAUAUUUCAACAUAUGAAAGUUGCGCCUCGUUCGUAGCUUUCCAACGGCGUAUCACACGCCUUGUUUCGACAAACGGUUCAAAAACUGGAGCGAAAAUAGUACCAAAAAUUUGAAAAACAGAAUUCCACGAUUUAGUAAAUUUGAAACUGCUCUUAAACCGUAAGGACUUAGAGAAACAUUUAUAUAUGAAAAAGAUGCUCCUCGACGAUAUCUAUCCAACGGCGUAUCAUUUGCUUCAUUCCGACGAGCGGUUUAGGAAAAAAACGCGAAAAACGCUCGCUGCCACUCGUCAUGGGCCGCACCAUUUUCAAAACUGCUCUUAAACCGUGUGGAAUCUCGAAACGUGUUCAACAUGUCGAAGUUGCGCCUAAUCCAUAGAUUUUCAAUGGUAUAUUACACGCCUCAUUCCGAUAAAUGAUCAAAAAAUUAGAGCAAAAACAGUACCGAAAAAAUAACGCGUACAGCUUUUUGCGACGAGAAGUUCACUCGUGUGAGUACUGCAGCACACUUGGUUCAAAGAAUGACGCGCACUUGCGUUCAGCGUGCAGUGCGGAAGUGGUGUGCAGAAUAGUUAUUCUGCUAAUAUUAGCAGAAUAGACUGUCUGUAUAUAUAUAUAUAUAUAUAUAUAUAUAUAUAUUAACAUCCUCGAAAAUAUUUUCACCUAUAUAUUAUUUGUCGGUAAUACCCGGUAUUACCCAAUGAUCACUGAAACCCUUCAGGUGACUCUGAAACGCUCCCGAUCCUCUUGGAACUAUUCCAAAUAUUUAUGAACAAUUCCACAAAUAUAUUCUCAUCACUCCCGUCCUACUAACACUCAGCAGAUCGUAACUGCCUUAAGCUUGUGACCCCAUAGGUUCGGUAACUCAUAGACAUGAACAAAACCCCUUCGUUUAAUGACCGGUAGCGGAACCAUGGAUGUCCAUAUCGGUCCCUGUGAGCAGACGAAUGAUAUUUGAGUGAACCUUUGGUUAUCAUGUGAUGUUCCCUUUGCUUCCUAAUACUUCACAAAAUCCGGGAUGCAUCGGUAUCCUCCUGAGUCAUCACCAUGCUCACUAUACCUUUAUCCUUGUUACCGGCUUUGUUCUUCUUUCUCGUUAUUGUAUUCUGGCAUCCCCAUGGUGAAGUCAGCUGUGUCUGGCCGGACGAUGAUGGAUGCCAUCACUCCAAGACCUAACAAUAUCUCUCCAUCAUCGGAGGAGAAAAUCCAACCCUCGAGCUAUGUGGCUACUUGUCAAACUUUUCGAUGAACGUGUAAGUUAUAGUUAUGAUCACCGUGUUACAGGUAAUAUUUGAGCAACCCGAAAGCCCACCGUACGGGAAGAAGUGACCAUGAUACUCUCAUGGUCUGAGGAGCAAAAUCACACAUUAACACUCCAUGUUAUUACAAUUGAUUACAUAUGAUAUUAACUCAAUUCAUAACAAACAAAACUGGGUUGAUUCAAUAUGAUGGUUCUUCCAACGUCAUAAUCUCAAUGUUGUUUUGGGACUAUUGUUACACUUAACGAUAUCUUAAGAUCCGGAAAACAUGAUCACCAACAACACUUGAGCUAGUCCCAGAGGCAAGACUAGAAACCUUUUAUUUUACCGUUUACCAUUCCACACGUGCAUACGACUUUUCCACUGAAUCACAUAUUCCAGGAUCAUAGUAGUUAUAGCGUGAAAUAUAAACACUUAAUUAUGAACAUGGAAAUAAAAUAAUACAAUAUUAUUGCCUCUAGGGCGUAUUUCCAAUAGUCUCCCACUUGCAUUGGAGUCAAUAAUCUAGUUACACUUUUAACUUUUACACCAAUGGCAAUCCAGUGUCAGACCAUGCUUUGCUUGUGGUAUAGACUUCGUCCUAUCGAAUAUGACAAUUUUCAGAUCCGUGUGUAUCAUUUGCAUUUCAAUGCAUCUAUUAUGCUUUCACUGAAUUCAUAAUUUAUGUGAAACAAGCUUAGUAUAUAUUGAAUCAUUGGCAGGACCUUUGGUUCCUUAGAUUGAGGCAUAGAACCACUAUUGAGAACAAUGUUCUAUUUGCACAAUCAUCAAGAAACCAUACUAAGUUCAUAAAUGAACCUUUGAUUAUCACCCUCUAUUGUUGCUUCUAAAGUGACAAUAUGCUUAGAAUUCUGUUGUAGAAUUCACCAAAAUAACUUUCUUGGACCAAUCCAGCUCAUUGUGCCACCAUAAAUCACUUAAUUGAAAUCAAAAUUUGCUUGGGGCACCGAUUGAAGAUUUUUGUCAAUGUACUACUUAUAUCAAGCAUGCAUUGUGUUGGGAAUCGUUGCAUGAAAAAAAAAAUCUACGCACAUGCAAUGAUCUAUCCAUGGAGAUGCAUAGCAACGAGGGGGAGAGUGUGUUUACUUAUGCUCGUAGACCGUAAGUGGAAGCGUUUCACAACGCGGUUGCUAUAGUCAAACUUCUUUGCGCUUCAACCGAUCAAGUACUGAACACAUGGCACCUCCACGUUCUGCACACGUUCAGCUCGGUGACGUCUCUCGCCUUCUUGAUCCAGCAAGACGUUGAUGUAGUAGUUGAGUUCCGUCAGCACGAUGGCGUGGUGACGGUGAUGGGGAAGUGAUCUCCGUAGGGCUUCGCCUAAUCACUACGAAAAUAUGACCGGGGGUGUGAACGGUGGAGGGGGCGCCGCACAUGGCUAGGCAAUUGUCUGGUGUGUGCUAGGCCGCCCCAUCCUCAUAUAUAUAGGUGGGAGGGAGAGGGGAGAGGCCAAGGGGCACCCCAAGUAGGUCCCAAUCCUACUUGGGCUCCUCCCUUGGUCGCGCCGCCACCUGCCAUAUUUGUUGGAGGGGGAAGGAAAGAGGGGGGGGGGGAAGGAAGGGGGAAUCCUAUUCCACUCUUUCCUUUCCUUUCCUUUCCCCUCUUUCCGUCUCCUCCUAGGAUGGCCCAUAUGGGGGGCGCACCAGCCCCUUGUGGCUGGUGAGUUUCCCCUCUUGGCCCAUAAGGCCCAUAUCUUUUGUCGGGGGUGCCUGGAACCCCUUCCAGUGACCUGAUAAGUACCCGGUACCCCUCGAAACACUUCCGGUGUCCGAAUACCAUCGUCCUAUAUAUCAAUCCAUCAUCAUCACCACCUUCUUCACCAGCAAAGGAGACAUAAUUACAUAGGUAUGGGCACUCCCCUUGGCAACUGCCAAGCUUGGGGGAGUUGCCCUGGUAUCGUAUCACCAUCACACUCCUAUCUUUAAUGUUUUACUACGUUUGAUCCUUUUGGUAAUAUCUUGAUCUAGUAGAAAAAAGUUUUGGUACGAAUUAGUUUUGAGUUUUGCUUUGUGAUCCCUCUAUGUAAUCGAGUCCGUGAGCUAUAUAUAAUAAAGAUUAGUGUUGAGUCAAGGGCUUUGCUAUCUUGCUAUGAUCUUAAGUGCAUAAAAGAGUAAAAAGAAAUCAAGAGAUCAUAUUGAUCUUAUGGAAAGUAAUGACUUCACAUAUAGAGAGUAUGAUGAUUAAACUUGUUGAGAGUUGGCAAACAUAGUUUUGGUCAUCGUUGCAAUUAAUAGGAAGUAAUAAAGGAAGAGAGGUUUUCACAUAUAAAUAUACUAUCUUGGACAUCUUUUAUGAUUGUGAGCACUCAUUAAAGUAUGACAUGCUAAAGAGUUGAUGUUGGACAAGGAAGAUGAUGUCUACUACACAACCUUCCUCUUGUAGACGUUGUUGGGCCUGCAAGUGCACAUGUUUGUAGGAUAGUAGCAAAUUUCCCUCAUGUGGGUGACUAAGGUUUAUCAAUCUGUGGGAGGCGUAGGAUGAAGAUGGUCUCUCUCAAACAACCCUGCAACCAAAUAACAAAGAGUCUCUUGUGUCCCCAACACACCCAAUACAAUGGUAAAUUGUAAAGGUGCACUAGUUCGGCGAAGAGAUGGUGAUACAAGUGCAAUAUGGAUGGUAGAUAUAGGUUUUUGUAAUCUGAAAUUGUAAAAACAGCAAGGUAACAAGUGGUAAAAGUGAGCGUAAACGGUAUUGCAAUGGUAGGAAACAAGGCAUAGGGUUCAUACUUUCACUAGUGCAAGUUCUCUCAACAAUAUUAACAUAGAUAGAUCAUAUAACAAUCCCUCAACAUGCAACAAAGGGUCACUCAAAAGCCACUAAUAGCAGAGAACAAACGAAGAGAUUAUGGUAGGGUACGAAACCACCUCAAAGUUAUUCUUUCGGAUCAAUCUAUUCAAGAGUUCGUACUAGAAUAACACCUUAAGACACAAAUCAACCAAAACCCUAAUGUCACCUAGAUACUCCAUUGUCACCUCAAGUAUCCGUGGGCAUGAUUAUACGAUAUGCAUCACACAAUUUCAGAUUCAUCUAUUCAACCAACACAAAGUACUUCAAAGAGUGCCCCAAAGUUUCUACCGGAGAGUCAAGACGAAAACGUGUGCCAACCCCUAUGCAUAGUUUCAUGGGCGGAACCCGCAAGUUGAUCACCAAAACAUACAUCAAGUGGAUCACGUGAAUGUCCCAUUGUCACCACAGAUAAGCACAGCAAGACAUACAUCAAGUGUUCUCAAAUCCUUAAAGACUCAAUCCGACAAGAUAACUUCAAGAGGAAAACUCAAUUCAUCACAAGAGAGUAGAGGGGGAGAAACAUCAUAAGAUCCAACUAUAAUAGCAAAGCUCGCGAUACAUCAAGAUCGUGCCAUAGAGAGAACACGAGAGAGAGAGAUCAAACACAUAGCUACUGGUACAUACCCUCAGCCCCGAGGGUGAACUACUCCCUCCUCGUCAUGGAUAGUGCCGGGAUGAUGAAGAUGGCCACCGGUGAUGGGUUCCCCCUCCGGCAGGGUGCCGGAACAGGCUCCCGAGAGGUUUUUGGUGGCUAUAGAGGCUUGCGGCGGCGGAACUCCCAAUCUAUCUUCUUAUUUGAUGGUUUUAGGGUAUAAGGGAAUAUAUAGGUGAAAGAAGUCGGUCGGGGGAGCCAUGAGGGGCCCACGAGACAGGGGGCGCGCCCAGGGGGUGGGCGCACCCUCCUAUCUCCUGGCCUCCUCGAAGCUUCCCUGGCUUGUACCCCAAGUCUCCCGGAUCAUGUUCGUUCCAAAAGUCACGCUCCCGAAGGUUUCAUUCCGUUUGGACUCCGUUUGAUAUUCCUUUUCUUCGAAAUACCGAAAUAGGCAAUAAAACAACAAUAUGGGUUGGGCCUCCGGUUAGUAGGUUAGUCCCAAAUGUAAUAUAAAAGUUUAUAAUAAAGCCUGUAAUCAUUCAAAACAGAUAAUAAAAUAGCAUGAAUGCUUCAUAAAUUAUAGAUAUGUUGGAGACGUAUCAACAUCCCCAAGCUUAAUUCCUACUCGUCCUCGAGUAGGUAAAUGAUAAAGAAAGAACUUAUGAAGUGUGAAUGCUAGAAGGUGCACAAGUUUGAUCAAUGAUAAUUUCAAUCACCUUUUCUAGCAUGAUUAUAUGUCAUAACAGUAGUUCAUCUCAUAAAACUUCUCAAGAUCAAGUAACAAGCUAUUCACAUGUUAGAGCAUAGACCAUAAACUUUCUUGAAAACUAGCAAACUUCAUUCCUAGUCAUCAAACAAUUACAAUUCAUCUUAUUUUCAGGAAGGGUCUAUGUCAAAGCUUUGAUUUAGCAAACUCCACAUACUCAACUAUCAUAUAGUCUUCCAUGAUUGCUAACACUCACGCAAUACUAAUGGUUAUGGAGUUUUAAUCGGACAUUGAGAAAGAUAGGGGCUUAUAAUUUCGCCUCCCAACGUAUUAACCUUUGGGUGAUGUCAACAAUAAUAGUUCAUGCUAACUUACAUCCAAUUGGAUAUAUAUAUAUAUAUCAAGAUCUUUCCAACAUGACGUGCUUGUCAAAGGAUAAAAUGAAAAAGGGAAAGGUGAAGAUCACCUUGACUCUUGCGUAAAGUAAAAGAUAGGCCCUUCGCAAAGGGAAGCAGAGGUUGUCAUGCGCUUUUAUGGUUGGAUGCACAAAAUCUUAAUGCAAAAGAAUGUCACUUUAUAUUGCCACUUGUAUAUGUGUAACACCCCCAGUGUCAUGCUACAGUAACCAUCUCUGAUUAAGCUAAUCAUUUUUCCAAAACAGUGCUUAAUCACCUUUGUUCAAUAUCCCAUUUCAAAUUCCAGUCAAUUCAAAUUCAAGUGAAGUUUGAAGUUGCUCAAAAGUUGUUGGGAAAAUGUUCAUCAUCUGCCAAAACUUCCAUAACAAUUAUUUGUUAAGGAACACAACAUCAAUUUUGUGCAAAGAUGAGCAUUAGCAAUUAUAACAGCACCAAUUCAGCAUUUUUAAAUGCUAUCCUAUUUAUGAAAAAUAUCAAAUGAAUUAUUCUGGUCUCCAAAAUAUUUAUGGCACUGUCUAUAAUCACCAGGGAUUUAAUGGGCUCCUCCCAAAUUUUUCCUAAGUGAAAUAGUUGACCAAAUAAUUCCCUUUCUCUCUCUGUUAAUAAAUAAAAGCUAAAACAGAAAAGAAAAAUUGUUUACAGUAAAAGAAAAAGGAAAAGCCCCCCACCCCUCAACUGGGCUGAUUGGCCCAGCUGGCCACCGCGCCCCCCCUUGGGCCUCAGCCCACCUAGCCGACCCAAGCCGACCAGCUCCCCUCCCGCGUCGUGUUCACUGUGCGGGCGACCGAGCGCCCGUGCCUGUGGUCGUCGCCCGACCGGCUCGCCGCCCCACGCCGCGGCAACGCCAGGGAUAAGGACGAGCCCUCCCCCCUCGACCUCGUCCUCGUCAGCCCCCCUCCCCGUGUAGAUAUUNNNNNNNNNNNNNNNNNNNNNNNNNNNNNNNNNNNNNNNNNNNNNNNNNNNNNNNNNNNNNNNNNNNNNNNNNNNNNNNNNNNNNNNNNNNNNNNNNNNNNNNNNNNNNNNNNNNNNNNNNNNNNNNNNNNNNNNNNNNNNNNNNNNNNNNNNNNNNNNNNNNNNNNNNNNNNNNNNNNNNNNNNNNNNNNNNNNNNNNNNNNNNNNNNNNNNNNNNNNNNNNNNNNNNNNNNNNNNNNNNNNNNNNNNNNNNNNNNNNNNNNNNNNNNNNNNNNNNNNNNNNNNNNNNNNNNNNNNCUCCCCCCAGAUCCCUCCUUGUUCUCCCCCUCGUUCCCCAUCGACGCCCGAGCGCGGUCGCCGCCAUUCUCCGUCGUCCCCGCGGCCACCGGCGUCCCCGAGCCUGGAAACCGAGCCUGUGAGGUGCGCCGUACUCCGCUUCACCAUCCUUGUCCAUCAGCUGGAGUCGGGGAGGUCGGCGACGUCGGCAUCGCCCUCUUCCCCUUCUCGGUGGUCACCGACGAUCACCGGAGCCACAGGCCUCCCUCUGUGCUCCCGAACCCCAAGAGGCCUCCGUGUGCCUGCCGCGUAAGCUCCGCAUCCUUCCUCCCCGUCCUUGCUCCGUUUCAUCCUUCCCUAGCUAGCUAGACAUAAGCGCCGGCUCCGCCGUCCGCCAUUGCUGCCACACACGAGAUCUCGAGCUCCUCCUGCUCCGUCUAGUCCCCGUAGCGCACUCCUGGAGGACUGCUGCUCUCGCCUAGCCCUUUCGCCUGAGCUGUAGCACGCCGUAGCAUCUUUUCCACCGUCGACCGUAGCCGCUCCGUUGCGGACCUCGUCGCCGGCGACGUUUCCGGCCAGGUCCGACGAUGCCACCACCACCACUCGACGCGCGGUCGAGUGACCGUUCGAACGUGCCUAGCGGCACCCCUUUCUGUGCCCCGUACGCGUUUUCUGGCCAACUCCGGCGACGCACCGCCGCGGGUAGGCUCGCCGGCGUCACUCCGUCGGCUCCGCUGACCUGGCGCCGAUGUGGCACCGCCUGGGCCACUGGCCAGUGGACCCAAUGGGUCCCGCUGGCCCGGUUGACCCUGUCCACCAGAUGACUGGUUUUGACCUGUCGCUGACAUGCGGGCCCCACUCCCUUAAUCAAUGUUUUAUUUAUUUAAAUUAUUUAGUUAACUUAAUGAGACACUGACAUGUGGGGCCCAGUUGCCAAUUAACCUCAUAGUAGUUUUAAAUAAACACUGUUAAGGCCCCUGUCCAUGACAAGUGGGUCCCACUGGUCAUUUUGACCAGUCAACCGCACUGUUGACUGCUGACGUCUCUCCUAGGUCAUGCUGACGUCAUAUUCCAUUUCUGUUAAUAUAGAUAAUUCUAGAAUAUGUUUAAAACUUAGAAAAUCUAUAUAAAAUAAUCUGUAACUCAGAUGAAAAUGUUUUCUAUAUUAAAGUUGCUCAGAAAAAUCCAACGAAUUCGAAUAUGCGGUCCGUUCAUCUGUCACAUGCCUCUAGCAUGCUGAACAUGAAACAUUCCCCCUUCGGUCAUCUGUCUGACACAGGUCCGGAACCGGGAAUACAUUCCCGGUUGAAUUCCCCCUUCACCUAUAUCGUGUAGCCAUGCGUUAGGUCACACCCGGCGUAGCAUAUUGCCAUGUUAUGCUUUGUGAUGCUAUGUUUGCUUUAUAUUUACUGUUUCUUCCCCCUCAUCUCUCCGGUAGACCCCAAGACCGAUGCUGCCCUUGUGAUCGACUACGUCGACGACGAUCCCUCCUUGCCAGAGCAACCAGGCAAGCCCCCCCUUUGAUCAUCCCGAUAUCGCCCAUUCCUUUCUCUCAUGCUUGCAUUAGAUUUUGCUACUGUUAUUGUAUGCUCCUACUCUAAUGCAUAGCCUGCUUUUGUAUCUGUUGUUGUACCUUACCUACUUAUCCUAAACUGCUUAGUAUAGGUUGGUUAGUGAUCCAUUAGUGACCCCACCUUGUCCUUGUUGCCCCUGCUUCAUCAUUCAAGACCCGAUCAACGGGAUUGAAGACCAGGCCCCGGCACCGCACAUCACUUUCCCCUUAGUUGCUCGACACUGCUGGGUUACUAUCGAGUGCCGAGGGUGAGACCUCUACAACACUUCUGAUGUUAACCCUGUAGUGUAGCUAUUCGGUCGUGGUCAUCGAGGGUGAUUCCGCCUUAACCACUUCCGAUAUGACUCUGUCGUGCAACCCCUCAAGUGUGAACCUCGGGGGUGAUUCCUCUUACGUUCACCUUGAUGAUUACAUUGAGUGGAAUUCACCGGGGGUGAUUCCUCGGGUUUUCCCCUUGAUGUUUAGACACACAGUUACUAUGAUUACUAUGACUUUAUAGUGAACCAUGUUACUAAAGACGGGUCGACCCUGAGGGGUACCCGCGCGAGCAUAGUUGCGAGUGAUGAGGAGUCGGGUUGACCUGGAAGGUGCCCGUGAGGUAAUUACGAGGCAUGGCCGGGCAUUCUUAGCCCUUGCCGCAAGUCCUCGAGACGGGGCAACGGGGUCACAUCUUUCGUGAGUCUCUGCUUGUUACCGCGCGUUCCUAAUCCACUACGAUUUGGAUAUUUGAUCCGAGGGGCCUCUGGCCUGAUAGCACUAACCAUCACGUGGGCAUAGUAUGGGCGUUCUGCAUCGUAUGCAUCAGCCAAAGCUUAAUAGACGUCAGCGACUGAGCGGCGCGCGCCGGGUUGGACUGGUUACGCCUUCUCUUGUAUAAGGGAGGCUAGGUCUGCUCACCGGCCGCGUACGCAACGUGCAGGAGUUUCCGGGGAGAUGGCCCAUGACCCCUGGGGGCAUAGGUUUAGUCCGGCGUGCUGACCUCUCUAUUAAGCCUAGGUCGGGUUGCGGCGUAUUGUUUGGCCGAGGCCGGGCAUGACCCAGGAAAGUGUGUCCGGCCGGAGUUAAUCAAGUGUGGUGGGUAAGUUGGUGCACCCCUGCAUGGAAGAAAGCAUCUAUCGAUAGCCUGUCCUACGGUAACGGACGCUCGGAGUUGUAUCCCGAUCGAUAAAACUAGAACUAGAUACUUGUGAUGAGAAUUGGAUGGUGAUGAGUUAUGGAUUGUGAUGAUAACUGGAUAGUAUGGCUCUGGGAUUUCUUUCUCGCAGGGAGUGGAGAAAGGAUCUCCGGCCGAGGUUGAUAACACUACUUCUACCUUACAUUGUGCUACUCUACUCCUCCUAUUUGCUGCAAGAUGGUGGUUUCCAGAAGAUGCUAGUCUUUGAUAGGACUAGGCCUUCUCUCUAUUCUGGCAUUUCUGCAGCCCAGUCCACCUAUAUAGCCUUCCUUUGAUAAUGUUGCAUAUGUAGUGUAGAUCCUUGCUUGCGAGUACUUUGGAUGAGUACUCACGGUUGCUUUGCUCCCCCUUUCCCCCCUUCUUUCUUCUUUCUGGUUGUUGCAACUAGAUGGUGGAGUCCAGGAGCCAGAUGCCACCUUUGAUGACUGCUACUACCCCGAGGGCGCCUACUACCAUGUGACGGAGACCGUCGAUGACCAGGAGUAGUUAGGAGGCUCCCAGGCAGGAGGCCUUGCCUUUUCGAUCGUAGAUGCUUUUGUGCUAGCCUUCUUAAGGCUAACUUGUCUAACUUAUGUCUGUACUCAGAUAUUGUUGCUUCCGCUGACUCUUGUGUAAUCGAGCUUAUGUAUUCGAGCCCUCGAGGCCCCUGGCUUAUAAUAUAAAGCUUGUAUUAUUUUAAUUUGUGUCUAGAGUUGUGUUGUGAUAUCUUUCCGUGAGUCCUUGAUCUUGAUCGUACACAUUUGCGUGUAUGAUUAGUGUACGAUUGAAUCGAGGGCGUCACAAUAUGGACCUUUAUUAUGCAGUCCGUCGCUUUUAUUGCUUCCAUAACAAGAUCGUAUAAAGCUUAUUUUCUUCACACUAAUAAAUCAUACAUAUUUAGAGAGCAUUUUUAUUGCUUGCACCGAUGACAACUUACUUGAAGGAUCUUACUCAAUCCAUAGGUAGGUAUGGUGGACUCUCAUGGCAAAACUGGGUUUAAGGAUAUUUGGAAGCACAAGUAGUAUCUCUACUUGGUGCAAGGAAUUUGGCUAGCAUGAGGGGGAAAGGCAAGCUCAACAUGUUUGAAUGAUCCAUGACAAUAUACUUUAACUGAGAUGUGAGAAAGCAUAACCCAUUACGUUGUCUUCCUUGUCCAACACCAACUCUUUAGCAUGUCAUACUUAAUGAGUGCUCACAAUUAUAAAAGAUGUCUAAGAUAGUAUAUUUAUAUGUGAAAUCUCUCUUCCUUCAAUAUUCUUUCAUGAAUUGUUCAAAUGACCAAUACAAUGCUUGCUAACCUUCAAUAAAUUAAAAACCUCUACUUCUUAGAUGUGAAGUCAUUACUCCCCAUGGGAUAAGCAAAUGAGACAUAUAUAAUUUCAGAUUUGUGACAUUCAACUCAUUCAACCAUUUACUCAUAGGAUAUAAGUGAAGCACACGAGUGAAUGACAAACUACUCCAAAAAUAUAUAAGUGAAGAUCAAUGAGUAGCUAAAUAAUGAUGUAACUAUGUGAAGACUCUCUCUCAUUUAAUAAUUUCAGAUCUUGGUAUUUUAUUCAAGCAGCAAUCAAAAAAUAAAUAAAAUGACAUUGCAAGGAUAGCACAACUCAAGUGAAGAAACAAAAACUUAGGUUCAACCGAUACUAACCGAUAGUUGUUGAAGAAGAAAGGUGGGAUGCCUAACGGGGCAUCCCCAAGCUUAGAUGCUUGAGACUUCUUGAAAUAUUAUCUUGGGGUGCCUUGGGUAUCCCCAAGCUUGAACUUUUGUGUCUCCUUAAUUCCUCUCAUAUCAUGGUUUCUCUUUUUAUCAAAAGCUUCAUCCACACCAAACUCAACAAGAACUCGUGAGAUAGGUUAGUAUAAACCAAUGCAAAACCUUAUCAUUUUCUACUGUAACAAAUCACUUAAAUUAUUUAUUCAACAUUGCAUACUAAAUUUCUCUGCAUAUUUAAUACUCAUAUCCUCAAAUAGAAUCAUUAAACAAGCAAACAUAUGCAAACAAUGCAAACAUAAUAGCAAUCUGCCAAAACAGUACAGUCUGUAAAGAAUGCAAGAGUAUCAAUACUUCCCUAACUCCAAAAAUUAUGAAAAAAAAUACUAUGCUGUAUAAGAUUUAUCAGAUCUCAAUAUUCAAAAAGUUUCAACAUUGUACCAUUCUCUGAAUUUUCUAGGGAAUUUUUGCAACAGCGGUAAACUUUCUGUUUUCAAACAGCAACAUGUAUACUAGCAAAAUAUGCAUGGCAAAGGCUAUCCUUGACAUUUUUAUUGAAACUAAAGAUGAAAAACAUUAUUAUAAAUAACAGAAAGAAAAUAUUAACAAAAUAAAAUGAUACUCCAGGAAAAACACAUAUCAUGUGGUGAAUAAAAAUAUAGCUCCAAGUAAAGUUACCGAUGAAUGAAGACGAAAGCGGGGGUGCCAUCCGGGGCAUCCCCAAGCUUAGGCUAUUGGUUGUCCUUGAAUAUUACCUUGGGGUGCCUUGGGAAUCCCCAAGCUUAGGCUCUUGCCACUCCUUAUUCCAUAGUCCAUCGAAUCUUUACCCAAAACUUGAAAACUUCAGAACACAAAACUCAACAGAAAACUCGUAAGCUCCGUUAGUAUAAGAAAAUAAAACCACCACUUAGGUACUGUAAUGAACUCAUUCUAAAUUCAUAUUGGUGUAAUAUCUACUGUAUUCCAACUUAUCUAUGGUUCACACCUUCCGAUACUACUCAUAGAUUCAUCAAAAUAAGCAAACAACACAUUGAAAACAGAAUCUGUCAAAAACAGAACAGUCUGUAGUAAUCUGUAUCAAACGUAUACUUCUGGAACUCUAAAAAUCCUACCAAAUUAGGAAGUCUAACGAAUUUGUAUACCAAUCUAGAUCAAAAAGAAUAAUAACAAAAGCACGUGUCUGUGAAUUAAUGAAACUAAUUUACUGGGUGCAAAAGUUUCUGAUUCUCAGUAGGACCAACACAACUAUCACCGUAAGCUAUCCUAAAGGUCUUACUUGGAACUUUAUUGAAAGAAAACCUAUAAAACAUGAUUACUACAGUAGCAUAAUCAUGUGGGCACACAAAAACAGUAAGGGUAAAUAUUGGGUUGUCUCCCAACAAGCGCUUUUCUUUUAUGCCUUUCUAGCUAGGCAUGAUGAUGACAAUGAUGCUCACAUAAAAGAUAAAAAUUGAAACAUAAUGGAAGCAUCAUGAAGCAUAUGACUAGCACAUUUAAGUCUAACCAACUUCCUAUGCAUAGGGAUUUUUUGAGUAAACAACUUAUGGGAACAAUAAUCAACUAGCAUAGGAAGGUAAAACAAGCAUAGCUUCAAAAUUUUCAACACAUAGAGAGGAAACUUGAUAUUAUUACAAUUCGUACUAGCAUAUGUUCCUCCCUCAUAAUAAUUUUUAGUAUCAUCAUGAAUGAAUUCAACAAUAUAACCAUCACCUAGAGCAUUCUUUUCAUAAUCUACAAGCAUAGAAAAUUUACUACUCUCCAGAUAAGCAAAAUUAUCCCUACAAAAUUGCUUGGCUUGUCUUCUCAAAAUAACAUGGCCAAAGAAAGUUAUCCCUACAAAAUCAUAUAGUCUGACUGUUGCUCUAUCUUCAUCACGCAAAGUAUUUAAUCAUACACAACCCCGCUGACAAGCCAAGCAAUUGAUUCAUACUUUAUUAAUCUCUAACUUUUUCAACUUUCACGCAAUACAUGAGCGUCAGCCAUGGACAUAGCACUAUAUGUGGAAUAGAAUGGUGGUUGUGGAGAAGACAAAAAGGAGAAGAUAGUCUCACAUCAACUAGGCGUAUCAACGGGCUAUGGAGAUGCCCGUUAAUAGAUAUCAAUGUGAGUGAGUAGGUAUUGCCAUGCAACAGAUGCACUAGAGCUAUAAAUAUAUGAAAGCUCAACAAAAGAAACUAAGUGGGUGUGCAUCCAACUCGCUUGCUCACGAAGACCUAGGGCAUUUUGAGGAAGCCCAUCAUUGGAAUAUACAAGCCAAGUUCUAUAAUGAAAAAUUCCCACUAGUAUAUGAAAGUGAGAACAUAUGAGACUCUCUAUCAUGAAGAUCAUGGUGCUACUUUGAAGCACAAGUGUGGAAAAAGAGAUAGUAGCAUUGUCCCUUCUCUCUUUUUCUCUCAUUUUAUUUCUUUUUCUUUUCUUUUUUUCUUCUUUUUUUCUUUGGCCUUUUUUUGGCGUUUCUCUUUUUUCUUCUUUUUUUAUAAAGUCCGAAGUCUCAUCCCGACUUGUGGGGGAAUCAUAGUCUUCAUCAUCCUUUCCUCACUAGGACAAUGCUCUAAUAAUGAAGAUCAUCACACUUUUAUGGAUUUACAACUCAAGAAUUACAACUCAAAGCUAGAACAAGAUAUGACUUGAUAUGAAUGCCUCCGGCGGUGUACCGGGAUAUGCAAUGAAUCAAGAGCGACAUGUAUGAAAAUUAUGAAGGUGGCCUUGCCACAAAUACAAUGUCAACUACAUGAUCAUGCAAAGAGCAAUAUGACAAAAGUAAUGCAUGUCAUAUGAACGGAAUGGUGGAAAGUUGCAUGGCAAUAUAUCUCGGAAUGGCUAUGGAAAUGCCAU